GUAGGGAAUAUUGGACAAUGGGCGAAAGCCUGAUCCAGCCAUGCCGCGUGAUAGAUGAAGGCCCUCUGGGUUGUAAAUAUCUUUUAUCUGGGAAGAAACUCCUCUAUUCUUAGAGGCCUGACGGUACCAGAGGAAUAAGCACCGGCUAACUCCGUGCCAGCAGCCGCAGUAAUACGGAGGGUGCAAGCGUUAUCCGGAUUCACUGGGUUUAAAGGGUGCGUAGGCGGGUUGAUAAGUCAGUGGUGAAAGCUCCGGGCUUAACUUGGAAACUGCCAUUGAUACUGUCAAUCUUGAAUGUCGUAGAGGUAAGCGGAAUGUUGCAUGUAGCGGUGAAAUGCUUAGAUAUGUUACAGAACACCAAUUGCGAAGGCAGCUUACUAUGCGAUAAUUGACGCUGAGGCACGAAAGCGUGGGGAGCAAACAGGAUUAGAUACCCUUGUAGUCC
rnacentral:rRNA from 1 species